rnacentral:rRNA from 1 species
GAUGAACGCUAGCUGCAGGCUUAACACAUGCAAGUCGAGGGACCGGCGCACGGGUGAGUAACACGUAACCAACCUGCCCUUUACUCGGGGAUAGCCUUUCGAAAGAACGAUUACUACCCGAUAUAAAGGAUGGGGAUGCGUUCCAUUAGGUUGUUGGUGAGGUAACGGCUCACCAAGCCUUCGAUGGAUAGGGGUUCUGAUAGCCAGGUCCCCGAGAUUGGAGAUGCGACACGGUCCCCAAUGGUAGGGGAGGCAGGGGUGUGUAAUAUAGGGCACUGGGGGCUAGCCUGAACCAGCCAAGUAGAUUGAGGGAUGAAGCCUUAUGGGUCGUAAACUUGUUGUAUAGAAGAAUAUGUAUUAGAUGAAUAAGGAUCGGCUAACUCCGUGCCAGCCGCCGCGGUAAUAC